rnacentral:rRNA from 1 species
GAGUUUGAUCCUGGCUCAGGAUGAACGCUAGCGGCAGGCUUAACACAUGCAAGUCGAGGGGUAGGUUACUUCGGUAACUGAGACCGGCGCACGGGUGCGUAACGCGUAUACAAUCUACCUUUUACAGAGGGAUAGCCCAGAGAAAUUUGGGAUUAAUACCUCAUAGUAUUUUUGAAUGGCAUCAUUUGAUUAUUAAAGUUCCAACGGUAAAAGAUGAGUAUGCGUCCCAUUAGCUAGAUGGUAAGGUAACGGCUUACCAUGGCUACGAUGGGUAGGGGUCCUGAGAGGGAGAUCCCCCACACUGGUACUGAGACACGGACCAGACUCCUACGGGAGGCAGCAGUGAGGAAUAUUGGACAAUGGGCGCAAGCCUGAUCCAGCCAUGCCGCGUGCAGGAAGAAGGUCCUAUGGAUUGUAAACUGCUUUUAUACAGGAAGAAACACCUCUACGUGUAGAGACUUGACGGUACUGUAUGAAUAAGGACCGGCUAACUCCGUGCCAGCAGCCGCGGUAAUACGGAGGGUCCAAGCGUUAUCCGGAAUCAUUGGGUUUAAAGGGUCCGUAGGCGGCCAAAUAAGUCAGUGGUGAAAGCCCAUCGCUCAACGAUGGAACGGCCAUUGAUACUGUUUUGGCUUGAAUUAUUAGGAAGUAACUAGAAUAUGUAGUGUAGCGGUGAAAUGCUUAGAGAUUACAUGGAAUACCAAUUGCGAAGGCAGGUUACUACUAAUAUAUUGACGCUGAUGGACGAAAGCGUGGGGAGCGAACAGGAUUAGAUACCCUGGUAGUCCACGCCGUAAACGAUGGAUACUAGCUGUUCGGAGCAAUCUGAGUGGCUAAGCGAAAGUGAUAAGUAUCCCACCUGGGGAGUACGUUCGCAAGAAUGAAACUCAAAUGAAUUGGCGG